UACAUACCGGAAAAAUGCUCAGCAAAGUUGAACUUGUUAAUGAAAUUGUAAAGAAAGAUGUGGCUGCAGCAUGCUUUGCAAAAACAAACGCAAAAAUAAAAGGACAGAAAUGGGAAUAAACAUAUACACGCACGGAAGCACUCACAUAUUCACACACGUUCACACAAACGCGAGCGCGAAAACAGAGAUCUAAAACACAAAAGGGUAAAAUAACAAAUAUACACAAACACGCAAGAAAACACGCACACACAUUUAACGCAGACGCGAGUAGAACUAUUAGGAGUCAGUUCACAAGCAGCUGUGCCUACUUUGUCCUACUUUUUUAAUGCACAUAUUGGCUCUGUCGCCUUCACUGUCAUAGGAAUUUUUUAGUAGCGACAUAUCACGACAGUCGAAAAGCAGCGCUAAGCUGUGUUGUCGGAAAGCAAGUCGAGCGCUGGCAGCACAACUUAUGCGCGAUUGUGUCACAGCAGGCAU
rnacentral:lncRNA from 1 species